rnacentral:misc_RNA from 1 species
AAGUCGUAACAAGGUUUCCGUAGGUGAACCUGCGGAAGGAUCAUUGGGAAGAGUUGGAGAGAGAUGUUGGAAUGUGAUGUUGAUAUCAAGUGACAAAUGUACUAUUUACAAUAUAACUAGCCACCUGGGAUCUCUGGGCUCUU